GAGGGUGUGACUCAGUGGCAGAGCACUUGCCUACUAUGCAUGUCAAGGUCUUGGGUUCAAUCCCCAGCACCCCUC
rnacentral:tRNA from 1 species